UUUCGAUGAUACGCGAGGAACCUUACCUGGGCUAGAACGCAUUCGGAAUCAGGCCGAAAGGCCUGCGCCAGCGAUGGCCGCUUGCGAGGUGCUGCAUGGUUGUCGUCAGCUCGUGCCGUGAGGUGUCGGGUUAAGUCCCAUAACGAGCGCAACCCCUACUGCUAGUUGCCAGCGGGUCAUGCCGGGGACUCUAGCGGAACUGCCAGCGUAAGCUGCGAGGAAGGUGGGGGAUGACGUCAAAUCAGCACGGCCCUUACGUCCAGGGCUACACACGUGUUACAAUGGCCGGUACAGAGGGCAGCCACCCCGCGAGGGGGCGCGAAUCCCGAAAGCCGGUCCCAGUUCGGAUCGGAGUCUGCAACCCGACUCCGUGAAGCUGGAUUCGCUAGUAAUCGCGCAUCAGCCACGGCGCGGUGAAUACGUUCCCGGGCCUU
rnacentral:rRNA from 1 species